rnacentral:rRNA from 1 species
AGAGUUGAACGCUGGCGGCAUGCUUUACACAUGCAAGUCGAACGGUAACAGGUCUUUCGGGAUGCUGACGAGUGGCGAACGGGUGAGUAAUGUAUCGGAACGUGCCCAGUAGUGGGGGAUAACUACUCGAAAGAGUGGCUAAUACCGCAUGAGAUCUCUGGAUGAAAGCGGGGGACCGUAAGGCCUCGCGCUACUGGAGCGGCCGAUAUCAGAUUAGGUUGUUGGUGAGGUAAAGGCUCACCAAGCCUGCGAUCUGUAGCUGGUCUGAGAGGACGACCAGCCACACUGGGACUGAGACACGGCCCAGACUCCUACGGGAGGCAGCAGUGGGGAAUUUUGGACAAUGGACGCAAGUCUGAUCCGGCAAUGCCGCGUGCAGGACGAAGGCCUUCGGGUUGUAAACUGCUUUUGUACGGAACGAAAAGCCUUCUUCUAAUACAGGAGGGUCAUGACGGUACCGUAAGAAUAAGCACCGGCUAACUACGUG